rnacentral:snRNA from 1 species
GUGACAGUGUCUCCAUCACUGCACUGGGAUUCACACAGACCAUAUUAGCACGGCUCCAGUGCAAGGCUGACAUGUAAAUUCAUGAAGUGUUCCAUAUUUUG